CUAUUUGUUAACAAGAUGAUUUGUCCUGUUGGGUUUUUGAUGAUUUUUCCCAAAGGUCUUCUAAAGGUGAAAUAUAUAUUGUGAUAACUAAGAAGCCAAGUUUCCCUACUAAUACCAGGGCUGAUUUUUCCUGUGGGUUAAGGGUUAAUCAAUCUGUACUGGAACUGGGAAGAUCGGAGAUGGGCUUCUGUAGGGAGCCCUUCUAACCUUUCUCAGCUGUGAAGAACCUGCCUUCCAUUGAAAUGAUGUGGAUGUGAUUGACCAAGCUUGUACAUAAAAGUGAAUAUAUUCAUAUUAAAAUUCCCUGACUAUUCAUGGGCUUUAAAGAAAAAAGUGGGAAGAUGGUAUGUGUAAAAUGCAGGGUUGGGAGCAGAUAUUGUGCAAUAGUUUUGUGGGUUUCUUUGGUGGAAGCUAUUAGUUAACAGUGAGAGAAAUCUCCCCAAAGUGUACCUUAGCCCUUGGUAUUCUGAGUGAAUCUGAAAACAACAUGUGAGAAAUCUCAGGGCACAAAUAAUAUGCAGGUAGGAAAAUUACAGGUACUGUAGUUUCAGAGACUGGCUGGGUCCUGCUUACCACACAAAACUAACUUUCCCCCUUUGUUACAUCGUGCUUUAUGCCCAGAACAGCUAGAUUUUUCUCUUAGUCUAUAAUCUUUGAGAAAAAAGGUAUUCUUUCUAGUGGAUCCUCAGGGGACAACUCUUGAGUUCAGGCCUAAAUCAUUUCCCAAAUUAUAGCACAAACCAAAAAGUUUUUAUUCUUGUAGCAUAGCAGCCUUUCUGGCAAAGUAUUUAAAGCAGCUGGGAUCAUCCUGUGGGAUAGAAUGUUGUUUUUGAUUCAGGGACUGAGUUAUGCCUUAAAGAGAGUACAUUUCCCUUCCCCAGGAAAAGUCUCACAUGAGGCCAAAUGUGCAUAGAUUAGCUCAGAUGCCUGAUGUGUGAAUUUUUGAGAGCCAUCCGCGUUAGAGAUAGUAUAGCAGCGGGACUUUUAGCUGCCACUGCUUUGUGGUUGCUACAUCCUCUAUUCACCAUAUAUGAGAGAUCAUCCUGGGAUUAAGACUAGAAUUUUCUCCAGAUGAAGAAGCAGAGGCACAGAGAGCUUAAGCUACGUGCUCAGGGGUGAAUGACUAGUCUCUGAUGGGGUAUUUGAAUCUGCAUCUUCCCAUCCCCAAGACCAAUGUUUUAUCCACUCUGCCACAUGUGUGAUGAAAGCUCGCAAGACACCAUGAUCAAAGGAAUCCCUGACACAAUUGAAGAGAAAGAAAGAGUGGAAAGUGUCUCUGCUUUUUGAAUGCCUCUGAAGCCAAUCAAAGAACCUCCUGUUUACCACACAGAUAGCCAUCUGGAACCAGUUACAGAAUGUCUACACAUGCUCCACAAUCUCUCCAAGGCAUUUCCAUCACAUGUUAUCUAUCAUGACUUUCCCAGAAUCAGGAUUUCCAUUUUCUCCUGUGGGGGUGUUGCUUUAGCUGAGUAAACUGAUGGAGUAUAUGCACACAUGAGUCACUGGUUACACUAGAGGGAAGAGAAUUUGUAGACAGAAGGGGAUGAAUAGUGUCAAAUACUGCAAAGAGGUCAAGAUAGAUAAGGAGUGAGAAAAGGCCAUUUGAUUGGCAAUGAAGGAAUCAGUGAAUACUUGGGAGAGGGUAGUUUCAGUUGCACCAUGGGUCCAGGAGCAGGGCUUAGAAGAGCGGCAAAAGAAGAAAUGGACUUUCCCAAGAAGUUUAGCAGGGAAAGGGGGAGGAGAGAUAUAGGUGGUUGGCCAUCAGUGAUGGUUAGAUCAAGUGAGAGAUAUGCUUAAGGAUGGGGGAGACUUGGGCAUGGUUGUAGGGAGCAGGGAAGAAUCUAGUAGACAGAGAGAGAUUAAAAAUAAGAGGGAGAGUGAGGAUCAAAGUGGAUAAUAUAAUGCAUAAUGCAAUAUAUUGGAGAAAGCAAGUGGGACCAAGGGUUCAUAUAAAGGGGCACAACAUAGAUAGUAAGUAGCAGUCAAGAAUAAAGCUUCUGACCUCUGAUUCUAAGUUUAGCACCUUUUCCACUAUAGUUACUUAGAUGAUAGAUAAGACAUAAUCCUUAUUAAGUUCUACGAUAUCAACACAGUGUGAAGGAAAAUAAAAAUUUGGUUCAAAUAACCUUUACAUAUGGAGUAAGUGACUAGAAAAGAACAAGGAAAGACUGAUUUUUUUUUUUACUUUUUUCUUUUCCUACAACUUCAUGUGCCAAAAUAUAGUUCAAAUAGGACUGGGGCUCAGCUUUCCUGAGUUCCAACCCUUUGUUUGGAAGAUUAAGUCAAUGCUAAUUCUUAGUUGUUCUUUGUGAUGAGGGGAAUAACAUGUGCUUUUAAUCCCCAUUUCUUCUGAAUUUUUUGUUCCUGAUGAUUUUUCUAAAGGGAUUACUGGGUGAGGCCCAGCAUUCCACUGAAGUGAAGCCACACCAGGCACUCAUCAGCCACCAUGUGGAGAUGUUUCACUUCAUAGAAUGGAUCUAUUGUAAAUAGCAUUGUCAUUUUUGCUCAUUUUUUUUUCUACAAUUCCCAGAGGUAGUCUCAGUGUUGGGAAAAUGUUCAAAUAAUUUCUGGCCCUGGAGAUUUAAACAAGAACUAAAAAGGCCUCAAAAUAGCACUAUCUUUGUUGGUUACUAAACCAGAGAGAAAACAUGUUGGGAAAUUGCUUUCUUUUGGAAAUUUUACAUUUAGUGCAAGACUGUGGCAGCUUAGAAUUAUGCCAGACAGAGUAUUUUAAAUGGAAAAGACAACAUGAAUGAAGGAAAGAAGUCAUGUCUGGCAAAAUGACAGGUAUUGAAUUAUAGCAGGACCUAGCUAUAAUUAAUUGCAUUUCAUCUUGGGGAGGUAAUCAUAUUGAGAAUAUCCCCUCCCUCCAUGUUUAACAUUUCUUAUCUAGUUCAAAAACAUCAGUAAGAUCCAUACAAUAUCCAAUAUGGAAGGAAUUUUAUAGAUGCCCCAGUUUUCUAUAUUGUCCUGCUUUCAAGCAGCUAUAUAAUAUAGUGAAUAGAAUCUUAGAUUUGGAGUAGAAAAAUGAGUUUAUAUCCCGCCAGACACUUAUUAGUUGUGUGGCCUUGACCAAAUUACUUAUACUCUUUCAGUUUCAGUUUUCUAAUUGGCAAAAUGUUGAUAAUGAAAACACCUCCUUCACAAGAGUGUUGUGAGGACCAAAAGAAAUACUCUAUUUCUAUAUAUAAUUACUAUUUAUUAAAAUUGAUUUGCAAACCUUAAAGCACUAUAUAAAAAAUCAUAUUCCUGACAAAUUGGGGGCUUUCUUGAAUAAUGCUUUGAGAUUUCAUUAUGAGAUUUCUUUAAAAUCUUAGAGGUGAACCUCAAUUAUUUACCAUAUUGAAUGAAAAACUUUUAUCCAGAGAUUCAAAAUUCCAUCAUCCUUCUAACUGUUCUCUUCCUGUCUUCCAUAUAUCUUUGUAAAUCAUCAUCAUUAAUGAAGAGUAUUCACAUCUCUGUAAGCUUCCUGAGGUCAGUUUUUCUCCAGUGUGUACCACAGUGCUUUGCACAUAAAAGGCACCUAAUAAAGUUGAACCACUUUAUUAAAAUGAA